rnacentral:rRNA from 1 species
AUUGAACGCUGGCGGAAUGCUUUACACAUGCAAGUCGAGCGGCAGCGCGGGGCAACCUGGCGGCGAGCGGCGAACGGGUGAGUAAUGCAUCGGAACAUGUCCAUGUCGUGGGGAUAGCCCGGCGAAAGCCGGAUUAAUACCGCAUACGCCCGAGAGGGGAAAGUAGGGGACCGCGAAGGCCUCACGCGAUUGGGUUGGCCGAUGUCCGAUUAGCUAGUUGGCGGGGUAAUGGCCCACCAAGGCGAUGAUCGGUAGCUGGUCUGAGAGGAUGAUCAGCCACACUGGGACUGAGACACGGCCCAGGACUCCUACGGGAGCAGCAGUGGGAAUUUGGACAAUGGGGGCAACCCUGAUCCAGCCAUUCCGCGUGAGUGAAGAAGGCCU